rnacentral:lncRNA from 1 species
CAUUAUUUAAGAAAACUUAUAUGGAUUUCUUACUUUGUGAAGCAUGUUAGCUACCUAAACAUAUAAAAAGUUCAUAUCAUGUGAGUUAACUAGUGAUAUUGAAGGUAUGAAUAGGUAUUUGAGAUAAUAGAAGAGAUUGUAGAUGAAAUUGUUAUUCAUGUUAAUCAAGUUGAAUUUUCUAGCAUCAGACCUCUCAAUUUACUUGUAAGCAAUGAUGUCAUUAAGGAGAUGUUCUCAUCAAGAAGAAAGAGACUCUGUCUAAAGAUAAUGGUCCAUUUGGCUCGUAACAGCAAUGUGAAAAGUUUGAUUGCUUCCCUUUUAUGAAUUUUGAAUUCCUAAUUGGUUCUUUACAUCUCCAGAAUCAUUAAUUUGAGAACGAUUCAUGUUUUUUCAUUACAAUUUCAAAUUCCACAACCUUCAGUUGUUAAAAAAAAC